AUACUUACCUGGCAGGGGAGAUACCAUGAUCACGAAGGUGGUUUUCCCAGGGCGAGGCUUAUCCAUUGCACUCUGGAUGUGCUGACCCCUGCGAUUUCCCCAAAUGUGGGAAACUCGACUGCAUAAUUUGUGGUAGUGGGGGACUGCGUUCGCGCUUUCCCCUG
ensembl:snRNA U1 U1 spliceosomal RNA